rnacentral:rRNA from 1 species
AUUGAACGCUGGCGGCAGGCUUAACACAUGCAAGUCGAGCGGGGUGAUGGUGCUUGCACUAUCACUUAGCGGCGGACGGGUGAGUAAUGCUUAGGAAUCUGCCUAUUAGUGGGGGACAACAUCUCGAAAGGGAUGCUAAUACCGCAUACGUCCUACGGGAGAAAGCAGGGGAUCACCUGUGACCUUGCGCUAAUAGAUGAGCCUAAGUCGGAUUAGCUAGUUGGUGGGGUAAAGGCCUACCAAGGCGACGAUCUGUAGCGGGUCUGAGAGGAUGAUCCGCCACACUGGGACUGAGACACGGCCCAGACUCCUACGGGAGGCAGCAGUGGGGAAUAUUGGGCAAUGGGGGGAACCCUGAUCCAGCCAUGCCGCGUGUGUGAAGAAGGCCUUAUGGUUGUAAAGCACUUUAAGCGAGGAGGAGGCUCUUUUGGUUAAUACCCAGAAUGAGUGGACGUUACUCGCAGAAUAAGCACCGGCUAACUCUGUGCCAGCCGCCGCUGUAACAC